GCUGGGCAUGGUGGUACAUGCCUGUAAUCUCAGUGGCUUGGGAGGCCGAGGCAGGAGGAUCGCGAGUUCAAAGCCAGGCUCAGCAAUGUUGAGGUGCUAAGAAACUCAGUGAGAGCCUGUCUCUA
rnacentral:sRNA from 1 species